UGGAAAAGGAUGUGGGAUUUCAUAGACAACUAGGAUGUUGGCUUAGAAGCAGCCAUACAUUUAAAGAGUGCGUAAUAGCUCACUAGUCGAGAAAACCUGCGCCGAAAAUGUAACGGGGCUAAAACACGACACCGAAGCUACGGAUUUCCUACAAGGUAGGAAGUGGUAGAGGAGCAUCCUGCAAGGACGAAGCCAAAGUGAGAGCGAUGGUGGACGAAACAGGAGAGAGAAUGCCGGAAUGAGUAGCGAGAUACAUGUGAGAAACAUGUAGGCCGAAUAUCUAAGGAUUCCUGGGUAAAGCUAAUCUUCCCAGGGUUAGUCGGGGCCUAAGGCGAGGACGAAAGUCGUAGUCGAUGGAUAACAGGUUGAUAUUCCUGUACUACACAUAAUCAGAACUGUGGGGACGCAGAAGGAUAGGGAAACCGGGGAAUGGAAAGACCCGGUCAAGCGUAAAGCUGUGGGAGAUAGGCAAAUCCGUCUCUUGUAAGUGAAACGUGAUGAGGACUGAAAAAAAGUAAGGAAGUUUCCGAAUCCACACUGCCGAGAAAAGCCGCUAUUGCGUUAUGUGUACCCGUACCGUAAACCGACACAGGUAGAUGAGGAGAAAAUCCACAGGCCGACGGGAGAAGUGUUGUUAAGGAACUCGGCAAAAUGACCCCGUAACUUCGGGAUAAGGGGAGCCUCGCAAGAGGCCGCAGAAAAGAGGCACAAGCAACUGUUUAGCAAAAACAUAGGUCUAUGCGAAACCGUAAGGUGAAGUAUAUGGGCUGACGCCUGCCCGGUGCUGGAAGGUUAAAAGGAGAGGUCAGCGCAAGCGAAGCUUUGAAUUCAAGCCCCAGUAAACGGCGGCCGUAACUAUAACGGUCCUAAGGUAGCGAAAUUCCUUGUCAGGUAAGUUCUGACCCGCACGAAAGGCGUAAUGAUUUGUGCACUGUCUCGACAACACGCCCGGUGAAAUUGAAGAACCAGUGAAGAUACUGGUUACCCGCAACAGGACGGAAAGACCCCAUGGAGCUUUACUGCAGCCUGAUACUGGGAUUCGAUGAUAUAUGUACAGGAUAGGUGGGAGGCUAAGAAGCGAGAACGCUAGUUUUCGUGGAGCCGCCGGUGGGAUACCACUCUUAUGUCAUUGAAUUUCUAACCUGCAUCCGUAAUCCGGGUGAGGGACAAUGUCAGGCGGGCAGUUUGACUGGGGCGGUCGCCUCCUAAAAGGUAACGGAGGCGCUCGAAGGUCACCUCAGAAUGAUUGGAAACCAUUCAAAGAGUGUAAAGGCAAAAGGUGGCUUGACUGCGACACCGACGGGUGGAGCAGGUACGAAAGUAGGACUUAGUGAUCCGGUGGUAUUAAGUGGGAAUGCCAUCGCUCAACGGAUAAAAGCUACCCUGGGGAUAACAGGCUUAUCUCCCCCAA
rnacentral:rRNA from 1 species